CACAGUAACUUGCAAAACAGCAAACAUUUUGUAAAAGGUGACUUCUGGCAACACCUAAUUCUCCUCAGUGACUGUAUAUGAAGCCAAAGCACCCAAGUAGAUCACAGUGAAUGACCCUGCCAAAGGCACACAUCUUCACCUUAGACUCUGCUACACUUAAAUUUUCUUUUAGAAACAAAGAGUUGGGGAGUUUUGAGGAUUUAUCUGGAAGCUUUUCCAAGGUCUUGUUGGCACAGCAAACACCACUGUUUUAUUCUUCAUAGGGACAAUUCAGUCUCAUAAAAUAUCGUGGAUGACAGAAAAGAAUCAUCAUAAUUUUAACAGAUACAGAAAUAUUUAAGCAUCAAGCCAACUUUGUCCAUAAGACAAUAUAUCUUUUGUAUUUAAUUUAAAUAUUUUGCAUAAUACAGUUAUGUUAUAAAAUACCCAUGCUGCACAUAUUCAGAAAUUACUGGUCUCAGCUGUUCUCUUUAAUGUUCUUUCUAUCAACAACUAGACACAUUUUGCCUCUUUUUAUAUAAGGCCAUUUCGAGAACUGUCAUUAUUCUCCAGUUUUAACCCAUAGCUUCAUUACACUUGUCAGCCUGCUCUUUGAAUAUUUAUCUCUAGGAAUUUUUUUUCACUUCAGUGUUACAGAGGGACUUGGAGGGACCACAAUCAUAGAAUCAUAGAAUCAUUUAGGUUGGAAAAGACCUCUAAGAUCAUGAAGUCCAACUGUAAAUGACAAAAUACAUGCUUUUGUUCACAUUGUGUGCUAUAUUGUGAGGGCCUCAUGCAGCAAUAUAUGUUUAAUUUAAACAGUGUGCUUAAUUUGAAAUACACGGAUAGUCCCACUGACUUGGAAGAUGCUUAACAGUAU
rnacentral:lncRNA from 1 species